GAAAAACCAUUCCAGUUAAAUGCACAGACUGCCUCCCAGGAGUGGCUUCCCGCUCGCUCACCGUAAUCCCACUUGAAGUUCCACACGACGUUCUUCUUUCUGCAAGGGAAGCCAAAACUCAAUACAAUAGCACAUUUGAACACAAUCUCAGUGAGACCAGUGAGCAACGCUUUCCGAAAACAAGCAGCACUGUUGCUUUUUCAGAUCACCAAAAAACCCAAAGUUAACCCGUCAAAAUUAACUUAAGUGUUAAGGAAAUUGUCUGCUUCCAAGAAAUGCCUAUGCAGAUCAUUACCGGUUAGUUACCUUUUUACAAAAGAACAAAAACACAUCCUUAACAGCCACCAAACAAGAUAAAACGAGAAUCAGAAGCUUUAUAUUUGCAGUGAUCAAUGGAGUGGACCUUGCCUGCAUACUUAUCAUCUCUUGUCGAGGUCCUUCAGAAUUCUCCAACUUCCACAGCCAAUUAGAAAGCAGACGUAUAUCAUAAGAUUCAAAUCAACGAACACUAACCUAGCAUUAUUAGGUUUGCACAAUAGGGUCCAGCAACAAGGUGGCAUUUUUUUACUAUACUAGUCUGGAUCAGAAUUCUCCAACUUCCACAGCCAAUUAGAAGCAAACAUAUAUCAUAAUUCAAAUCAAGGAUCACUAACCUAGCAUUAUUAGGUUUGCACAAUAGGGUCCUGCAACAAGGUGGCAUUUUCUACUAUAUUAGUCUGGAUCUGAGCAAGUAUGUUCUUUUUUCUUUAGGAAUACCAGAGAAGGAAAUCAAGGCAGAAAUCUUAUCUUUCCAACAACAAUCUGUCUUCUACCUUCUGUCACUGUUGCUUAAACAUACACCAUAUAAUUUAUUAUUCAAUGAUCAAACGAUUUAUACACGCUGAUACAUCAAGGGAUGAUCUAGGCAGAGACCCCAAGGAAUUUUUUGCAUCUAAUACAAGUUUUAUUCUACUCACUGCCAAUAGACAUUCAAUUAAUUAAUGCCAGACACUUAAUCUCAAUCCAUUUAUUUAGAAUAAUACAUAAAAGCUACUCUUCAACCUAUGAAUCAAAUAACUUAUCCCUAUUUUUCCCUGUUGCUUUUCUUUUUCUUUCCUUUGGCAUGUGUGGAUUAUCUGCAAAUAUUUGAAUGUCCAAAAGUUGUACUCUCAUCAGCAUGUAUUGGUAGAAUUACGCAUUUGUGGACACUUCGAUGAAUUGGAAUUAUGUUACCAUGCUAAAGACAAAGUGUUGUGUGCAAAAAGACUUCGUAACUGGUACUUACAAUGGAGCUCACCAUGCCAAUGUGAAGGAUGUACCACCUGUCAGUGAUAUUGUGUGGAGCUUUUAUGAGAGUGUUUAUCCACCAAACAAAUAAAACGUAAGCAUCUUGAUAUGUACAACCCUUACUUCCUUCUAUAUAAGGUGCCUAUCACUUCUAUCGAUCAAAGGAGCACAUUUUUGCUCGACACAGAUCUCUAUAAAACUAUUUGCAGUAGUAAUCAUUUAAUAGUAUCUAUUAUCCGACUGAGGAUACCUUUGUUGCUAAACGUAGAUCUCUAUAAAACUAUUUGCAGUAAUCACUUAAUACUAAUAGUAGUCCAUCUAUUAUCCAAUUGUUGAGGAUACCUGCUAAACGGAGAUCUCUGCAAAGCUAUUUGCAGUUAUAGCUUAGUGGAUUUCAUUCUCCAUUCCAGGACAUUUAUGAGACAGAAUUUAGGCAUCAAUUUCCAAGGAUUGAAACUUCUUUUUCAAUCAUUGGAGCACAUUUCCUGGUAAAUGUGAUCUAUAGGAAGUUUUCUAUAGCAUUCACAUAGUAGUAUCCAAUCUCAUUGGAGUAUGGUUUUCUCAUAGAUUUUAGCAAGCUAUUUGCAGCAAUAAAAUUGCAAUUCUCGUUCUCCCUUGCGAAUGUCUUCCCCUCAUACAUCUCCACUAAGCUAUUUGCAAACAUAGCAAUUUCCAUUCUCCACUGGAGUAUGGUUUUCUCAAAAUAGGUCUCCAACAAGCUAUAAUCGAUUAGUAGUUCCCAUCCUCCAUUGGAAAAUGGCUUUCUCGCUGUAGAUUUGUAGGAACUAUUUGCAACUUACACGCGGUAGUUCCCAUUAUCCAUUGGAGGAUGCAUUUCAUACCAUAUAAAUCAACCUAGCUACAUGGUAUGUAGUUAAUCGCUUUCGUUUUUAGGCCAUUCAACAUCCAAAAAUGUCUCUCACCAUAAAACUAUAAUUAGAUAUUGUUGGUAUCGUAUUAAUUUGAUUUCUAUUUGAGGAUGCCCUUCUCGCUAUAUAUAUGUAGCCAGCAAGCUACACCGUAUACUAUACAGUAUUCUCUCUCUAUUUACUAGUCAAGUAUGGUGAGGAGGGGUAGAAGGAAAGGCGUGAGGUACAUCGAAGAGGAUAGAGAUCGCAGCCUCACCCUCAGCAAGAGGCGUGAUGGGCUGUUCAAGCUUGCAAAUGACCUCUCCCUUCUCACUGAUGCAAGCGUCGCAAUUUGCCUACAUGACAGCAAUAAGGUACUGUUGUCCCACUAUGCUUAUGAAUAUGUCAUCAUGCUGUACCUUGAAUUGUAUUAUUAUUAUUGUAAUGUUAAAUGGAAUUCGUUUGAAAUAUUUGGUUAUAUUAUUGCAUUAUUUACAACAGGCACAAUUCUUUGGGGCACCAUCGGUGAAACCUGUUGUCGAUGCUUUUGUAUCUGAGGCAGAGCCAUUUGCCGAUGAACAACUGAAGGCCAAGCUUACGUCAAUGCAAAGUGAGCUGGUCCAGCUAGAGAAUGAAGAAGAAGAGAAGGACAAGAAGACUGAAGAAUCAAUCCAGCGCUUCAAGGAGGCCCAAGAAGAGAGCUUAGGUAUGGGUAUGGCCAAGCAUCUAUUCUCCAGGCUAGAGGAUCUCAGCCACGAUGAUAUGCGUGAACUUUUAGAUGUACUCUUGCCGCUCCAGCAAGAUUUCAAGAAGCGGCUGCCUCCCCUACGUCGUGGCAGCAAGCUGCAAAUUGGUGGAUCAAGUGCGUGGGCACAUCAGCAGCCCUCGUGUUCUCGCUUCUUGGCCUCACACCGUCCAUUCACUCCAUUACUUCCUGGAGGGACAUCAGGAGUUCCGAUGAUACCUCCGCCUCCAGUGCCGGGCUCACCAUGGUCUCAGAUAUUUCCGCUACGGCCACCACUGUUUCCUUCUCCAGAGUUAGUGCCAUCCCAACAAUUACCACCAGUAUCACCGCCGCAGAACACAGUGGCACCUCCUCCAAUGCAUGCUCCAUUGGUGCAACAGCCACUUACUAAUCAAUCAUCGGCGGUUCCCCUGCUGACGCAAUGGCAAAUGCGUUUUGGGGAUCAGCCACCCGCUGAAGUGCAAGCAUGCACUCCCGUAGAGCAACCUCAGAAUGACAAUGCAGUCCAUACCCCAACCUUCAGCGACAGUUUCCUUUUGGAGUUGUUGGCUGAUGUCAGCGAUGAUGGCAUUGCUACUGCUGAACCAUUGUGUUCUCCUCCUAUUGAUGACCAGUUUUUGGCUGACAUCGACUGGCUUGCUGAAUUGGACACUAUCGAUGGAAAUUUAUAGGUCAAGUUGCUGAUGGUUACAGCCUUCCUCAAGCACUUGGUGGUUCUAUGAUAUGCUGCCAGAGUUUUCUUCCGGUGGGGGAUAUGCUAAUGCUAUUGCAGGGCACCAAGGAACUGAAUUAGUUUUUUUAAACUACUUAAUCAGGCCUCUUUGGGGCAAAAUUAAAGUGUCGUUGUUUAAGAUUCUUAGUUAGGCCUCUCUGAGGCAACAGAAUACAUGUCUUCUAUGUAAUAGCAGUAGUACAUGCACUGCUGUCUUGAGGUUCAAACUCAUGAAGUUUGUUUUGUGAGCAUGAUCCUCUUGCAUCAUUGCAAUGUCUUGUAUCCUCAUUUUUAUUCGAGUAAUGCACAAUUAUUUUGUUUGAGAAAAAAAGUGAACAUGUAUCUGCAAGAAGUACUUAACAUGUUGUGAAACCGGGCUUAAUUUUCUUACUACACUCAUGAUCUGAAAAAAAAAUGCAGUUCAUGUCACAACUGAAACCGCGACCUGAGUAUGACAAAAACAAAGUGCAAGGUACAAAAUAACAGCAAAUCUAAAGCAAGAUAAAGGUUUUUGGUUCAUCUUACAUCAUCCUCAUGUAGCACAUUGCAGAAUCUAGCCACGCAAACAUACGGGAAAUUUUCAGAGACAGCAAGAGAAAUCGCAAGUAAGGAGAGGAAAGGACUGGAUCGCAACCAUAUCUAUCUUAGAUCAAGAAGAAAACUAACACGAAGCUAAAAAGAAAUGUAAUUAUGUCUCGGAACAUUAACGUGUUCCUCACCUGCUCUGCUCCACGUCGUUGAGAACACCGGCGAAUAUAAUGCUGGAGAUCGCCGGCGGUGGUGGAUCCUAGCAAUUCCGGCGGUGGUGGAUCCUAGCAAUUCCGGCGGCGGCGGCGGUGGCGGCGGCGGAGGGGGAAUGAGCGGCACGGCUAGGGUAACCAAGGCAACCUAGAGAGAAUAUGGGCCGGGCCG
rnacentral:lncRNA from 1 species